rnacentral:tRNA from 1 species
GCCUGGGUGGUUCAGUCGGUUGAAUGUCUGACUUCUGCUCAGGUCAUGAUCUCACGGUUCAUGGGUUCAAGCCCCGCAUCGGGCU